rnacentral:rRNA from 1 species
CUGCGGGGAGUAGACUAACAGGAUCCCUUAGUAACGGCGAGUGAACAGGGAAGAGCCCAGCACCGAAGCCUGUGGCCAGUUGGUCACUAGGCAAUGUGGUGUUCAGGUCAUCUCACAGUGGUGCCGCUCCACCCUAAGUCCAACACUGAGUGCGGUUGUAUGGACAUGGCCCAGGGAGGGUGAAAGGCCCGUGGGGGUGGAGGUCAGACAUGUCGGUAUCACUAUAUGAGUAGACCUUGGAGUCGGGGUGUUUGUGAAUGCACAA